UAAGUCGCGCACAGCGAAGAUAA
rnacentral:snRNA from 1 species